rnacentral:rRNA from 1 species
UACUUAAGGAUGGGCCCGCGUACCAUUAGCUUGUUGGUAGGGUAACGGCCUACCAAGGCGACGAUGGUUAGCUGGUCUGAGAGGAUGGCCAGCCACACUGGAACUGAGACACGGCCCAGACUCCUACGGGAGGCAGCAGUGGGGAAUUUUGGACAAUGGGCGCAAGCCUGAUCCAGCCAUGCCGCGUGAGUGAAGAAGGCCUUCGGGUUGUAAAGCUCUUUCGGCCGGAACGAAAUCGUCCGGGCUAAUACCCCGGAUGGAUGACGGUACCGGAAGAAGAAGCACCGGCUAACUACGUGCCAGCAGCCGCGGUAAUACGUAGGGUGCAGGCGUUAAUCGGAAUUACUGGGCGUAAAGCGUGCGCAGGCGGCUACUCAAGUCAGAUGUGAAAUCCCCGGGCUUAACCUGGGAACUGCGUUUGAAACUGGGUGGCUAGAGUGCGGCAGAGGGGGGUGGAAUUCCACGUGUAGCAGUGAAAUGCGUAGAUAUGUGGAGGAACACCGAUGGCGAAGGCAGCCCCCUGGGCCUGCACUGACGCUCAUGCACGAAAGCGUGGGGAGCAAACAGGAUUAGAUACCCUGGUAGUCCACGCCCUAAACUAUGUCGACUGGUUGUUGGGGGAGUCUGUCCCCCAGUAACGUAGCUAACGCGUGAAGUCGACCGCCUGGGGAGUACGGUCGCAAGAUUAAAACUCAAAGGAAUUGACGG